UUAUUAUGCCCCACCUACGAUAGUAGUCGGGCAUUAUGUUUUCUGGUCUGUGGCUCCGUUCGUCUGUGCGUCCGUCCGUUCAGGUUAAAGUUUUUGGUCAAGGUAAUGAAGCUGAAGUCCAAUCAACUUGAAACUUAGUAGACUUGUUGCUUAUGAUAUGAUCUUUCUAAUUUUAAAGCCAAAUUAGACUUUUGACCCCAAUUUCACGGUCCACUGAACAUAGAAAAUGAAAGGGGAGUUUCAGGUUAAAGUUUUUGGUCAAGGUAGCUUUUGGUGAAGCUGAAGUCCAAUCAACUUGAAACUUAGUAAACUUGUUGCUUAUGAUAUAAUCUUUUUAAUUUUGAAGCCAAAUUAGACUUUUGACCCCAAUUUCACGGUCCACUAAACAUAGAAAAUGAAAGUGGGAGUUUCAGGUUAAAGUUUUUGGUCAAGGUAGUUUUUGAUAAAAUUGAAGUCCAAUCAACUUGAAACUUAGUACAUAUGUUCCCUAUAGUAUAAUCUUUCUAAUUUUAAUACCAAAUUAGAUUAUUACCCAAUUUCACGGUCCAUGGAACAUGGAAAAGGAUAGUGCGAGUGGGGCAUCCGUGUACUUUGGACACAUUCUUGUUUUUAAUAAUAUUUUAUUAGUU
rnacentral:lncRNA from 1 species